GCGCCCGUAGCUCAGCGGAUAGAGCACUGGUCUUCGGAACCAGGUGUCGGGGGUUCAAUUCCCUCCGGGCGCGCCA
rnacentral:tRNA from 1 species